UGAAAGAAAUCAAGUAAUAAAUGUGGCUCAUAAUUUCGGAGUCUCGAACGAGUUACCUUGGAGCUUGUAGAAAUGGCUUCUUUGUUGGAGAAGCCAAGUGAAUUUACCAGAAAGUCCACCAAUACAUAGGCAGGAGAAGUCGCUGCAGCUGUGGAGUAAAAGAGCUGAAAUCUGAUGGAAAAGAGAUGGGACCAAUACAUUGGCAGGGGAACUCGUUCCCACUUCAGCUGUGGAGUAAAAAAGCUGAAAUCUGAUUGCAAAGAGAUGUUUUGUUGCGCCAUUGCUACCCAGUCGAAACAUCGGUGCAAGAGCAAGCACAC
rnacentral:lncRNA from 1 species